CCUGUUGGUUCAGCAUUUUGAGGGAAGAGAAUGUUUCAAGAAGGAAGGUGGCCUUUGGGUCAAAGGCUACUGAAAGAUCAAAUAAAGUGAGGACAGAGAGCUGACUGUAGCUUUGGCCAGAAUGGUUCCAGGGGAGUGAUGAGUAGGGCAGCCAUAUUGCAAAAGAAGGCAGAGAGUGAACCCGGUGAGUGGCAAUAGCAGAGAGAGAGGGUGGUGGAGAGAGAGAGAGAGAGAUGGACAGUGAGGAGACAUGAGCCUAAAGAAAACUCUGGAAGAAGCAGAGAGCUCUCUGGGGUGGGAGGGGCGCUGGCUGACUGGGGGGGUCCUGAAAGCCCAGCUGAGGAGCCAGUAGGCAGCAGGAAGUGGGAGAGAAGGAACUUCAGGAAGCCUGAUAUUUGCUAAAUGUCCCAAGGGGAUGGGCCCCAGCUUAAAACUCAUUAGAAAAAAAACACAGCAAAGCACCUGAGUUUGAGGAGUUUGGUUCUCCGUGGCAAUUCCUGCUGGAGCCUUCUUAAUUUCCUUGAUAACUGAGGGUCACCGACGAUGGGCACGUCCUCUUCUGGGGCCCGGCUGUAAUGGAUGGAGUCCAAACUCUUCAGAUUCCCUGCCCCAUGCCUGGCUCUCCAUCCCCACUCCUCACCUCGCUUGUGGCCCACCGCGCCCCAGCCAAGCCCAGCUACACAAGUAACCUAAGCCAGCUGCCUUGUGCCUGCCAGACUUCGCCCAGGACCACGGCCCUUCCCCGGAGCUCUCCUCAACUAACUGUACGCCUCCCUCAUGUUCCCAUCCUAUCUGCCUUUCAGCAAUAAGCUCAGUUAAG